AAGGAUCUCAUUACAAAGAAUCAACGAGGGUGUGGAUGAAGAAAGCUGCAGCACAUCAUCAGUGGCUGAUAAAGGCCAUUUUGUUGUUUACAGCUCUGAUAGAAGACGCUUUGUGAUUCCCUUGAUGUAUCUUGACAGUGAAAUCAUGAGAGAGCUUUUCCAAAUGUCUGAGGAGGAGUAUGGGAUACAAAGUACAGGCCCCAUCAUACUGCCAUGUGAUUCAGUCUUUUUGGACUAUGUGAUCUCAUUCAUCCAACGCGGUGUUGCUAAAGAGUUGGAGAGGGCUUUGAUCAUGUCCAUAGCUCCCAGUAACUGCUCAUCCUCUUCAUACUUCCACCAAGAACAGACCAAUGAGCAAUUACUCUUCUGUGCCUGCUGAAGAAAACUACACUUAAAUUUUGUAAAUGAUCCAACAAAAUUUUUGUUUGAUAAUAUAUAUAGUGAGAAUUCUCAAAGCAUUUUCUUCAUGUCUUCUUGUCUUGCUUGUAGUUAUUGCUUAUUGCCAUCAAAUGGUAAGCAUAUUUGCUGCAGCAUCUAACCAGAUAUUCCCAGGACAAAGCCAUUACUCAAUUUAUUUGCUUGGAAAUAUAAUUCAUCAUCUAAACUAUGAGAAAAAAUGACACUAAUAUAGAAGAAUCAAAUACAAAAUUACUAUAAAUUGCUCACUGUUCUUUCUCAAUUAAUUACAAGAGAGAAGCUGCAGCUCAUCAGAUAAAAUGUGUUGUAAAUGAAUCUUCAAAUGUACUGUCUCCAUUAAAACAUUUUAGUUAAUAUUGGUAACCAUUGAAAAUUCAAAUUUGAACAAACUUGGAUCAUAGAACAAUCUAAAAUGGGCUUUUAAAGCAAUAUCUCAUUCAGACUUCCUCAGCUUUUCCACAAAGGUUCAAUGUCAAGCCUGAUGGCCCCAGCAUAAAACCCUGCUUUUCUUGCCUAAGGCAUUGUUACUAGAUUUGCAACAGGGCUGAACUUCAACAGUAUUUACCAACUUUCACUGACCUGAAAGAAAUGUUUAUAGCAAUUGUAACAGGCUGCUAGGUGUAUCUAGUGAGAGAAAUGGCCUCUAACGGCGACCAGACUAUGGUCCAUGGUCAGGUUGGAGAGGCAACUUCUUAAUGGAUGAUACCUUUGAAGUGAUUCCUGGUAAGAGCUGGCACCUCCCAUUUUGAGGCGGAUGUUUGAGAGGUCCAUCUUAGCUUUCCCAAAUGCUAUUGUGCUAGCUUUCUUUUGCCUUAUCCAAUGCAUAGACUUCUGCGGUUGGAAUGAGCCGACACCUCAACUCAUUGGAGCCAAUAUGUCUGCAGAUCACUUAGCAACAUGUAAGGAUAUGUAUCUUCUGCUAUGUCUGUGGAUAACUUAAAAAAAUGCAAGAGGUGUCUUCUGCUAUGAUCUGCCUGAAAGCAUUGCUUGCAUAACACAACCAAACUUGCCUGCCUGGCUGUCCCUCAAUGCCGUGUGGUCCAACCUGCAUGUGGCUUUGCAUUCAUUGAAUCCCCAAAAAAUGGAGGAUUCAAAUUAUUUACUGUCUCAGGCCUCGUUACUAUAUAACUGACCCACUUCCAUCCUGCAUCCCAAACAUAACAACAAUUCCAUCUUAGUUCUUCGCUUGUUCAAAGUUUCCUCUCUUAUUUACUCAAGUGAAUAAGCAUGAUCAAUCCCAAGAAACUCAUCAAGAUGGCAAGGAAGUGGCAGAAGAUAGCUGCCAUGAAGAGGAAGAGAAUCACUCUACCAAGAACAGAUGAGAUUUUGGAUGCUGAUGGUUGUAGUACAUCCGCAGUGGCAGAUAAAGGCCAUUUUGUUGUUUUCAGUUCUGAUAAGAGACGCUUUGUGAUUCCAUUGGUGUAUCUCAACAAUGAAAUCUUCAGAGAGCUUUUGCAAAUGUCUGAGGAGGAGUUUGGAAUACAAAGUGAAGGCCCCAUCAUAUUGCCAUGUGAUUCAGUCUUCAUGGACUAUGUAAUCUCAUUCAUCCAACAUGGUGUAGCAAAAGAUUUGGAGAGAGCUUUGAUUAUGUCUAUAGCUUCCAGUAGCUGUUCUGCUUCUUCACACAUCCUUCAAGGACAUAACAAUGAACAAAUGCUCUUAUGUGCUUUCUGAAGCAAUUGUGCUCAAACUUUGUAAAUCAUCCACACAGUUUUAGUUUGACUAUAAACACCAAGAGAAUUUUCCAAGUAUUUUCUUCAUGCUUUCUUUUUUUCCCAAUAAAUGACAGCAGAGUGCCUCAAAAUGGUAAACAAGGUUAUUGCAACCAUCUAUCCAAAUAGUGCCAGGGCAAUACUACAUUGCUGAACUGAUAAUAUUACUUUUUUUUCAUCAGAUAGGGGAAAUUUCAUUGAUUGUUUUAUUUAUUUAUUUUAUAAGAAGUGAACCUUGUUCUUUGAUUGAUAUAUAUAUAUAUAUAUGCAUAUAUAUUGAAUCCCAGAAUUCUUAGAGUCUCAGAAUAGACACAAGCAUACCAAACCUUCCAUAUUUUCAAUAUUCAAAUUUCACCUAAAGGGACUUAACCUGGUUGCAUGAAUUAGUUAGCUCUGGAGGUAUUCUUUGAUCUAGUAUUUAAUAAAGAAUCCUCUGAUUUAUGAACUGCCAGCUAAAUUGGUUGUUAGCUGUCGUCAAACCACAAAACAAAUAUAAGUAAAUAUCAUACUCUGUAUGCACCUUGAUUCACUGAUUAGCAACAUAAAAAAACAUUGCUACCAUGUAUUUGUUUUUUGAUGAUGUAACAUAUCACAUGGUUUUGCAUCAACAUUUUCCCCAGGAGAUCAAGAGCUCUCAAUUUUUGAGGCUCCUGCAAGCCCCAAGUCCUAAUUGAUAAGCAAUAUCAGGGAUUUUGAACAGAAUCAAAGACUCAAGGCAGCACUGUCAAAUUCAUAUAUGGGACUACAAACCAUGUACUACUUUCCUCUGUUUUCCCAGCAGCCAAACACAGUGACAAACAAAAGAAACAGGGAAAUGAAAACAAAACAACCUCUUUGUAAGUUGAGUUUUGAGUCAAUCCAAGAGCUAUAGCUGCUUGUCUCUCUUGUCUUAGUUUAGGGGUCUCCAUGGAUUUAUCUGAUGAAAACCACAUUUUUGAAAAGUUCAGAACAGGAGCUAUAUAUAUUGGUUUGGCUCAGAAACCCCAUUUACAAACAGGUAACAUUCUUUACAUUUUUUUGUUUCUUUUUUUCUUAUCACUGUGUUUGCUGCUGGGAAAACAGGGGAGGAGAAAGGUAACAUACGGCUAAUGAUAUCUUAUAUGAAUUGUAUAGUAGUCAAUGAACAGAAGUCAAACAUGUCUAGCUAUCUUCAAUUUUUGGCAAAUCCCACCUGUUCCCUUUGCAUUGUAUGCAAGCCAUGUGCCUUGUUUGGGUCCGAAACUCUGUCCCACAUUCCUAUGGGGGUCAUCAACUAGAAUGUGGGGAUUGCAGGACCUUAAAAAUUGAUGGUAAUGUUUUGGAUUUUUAGUUUGGUUUAAUCUCCAUCUGCAGCCCCACGCAUGAGGAUCGUCAGUUUAUGUGUGAAGGCAUUAGAUGACUUGUACAUUUUGGGUUCUGAAGCCAUGAAUCUCUAAAAUUCCCUAAUGUACCCAAUUGAUAUAAGUAGGCAAAGGGUCUGUUUGCAAAUUGUUCCCUCCAUGAUCCAUUUAUUUCCAGUCUUUCUUCAGACUAUCAAUUGAUAGUUUCCAGCUAAAGGGAUUGGAUCUAUUGUCACAAAACCACUUGGCAGAUAGGACCAGAUAUACUGUGUGGCUGAGCUUUUGAGUCUUCAUGCAGUACCUUCUCAGCCACUUCCUAAAGGCCCCUCCUUGUCCAUGCAGCACAUGGUUUUGCACCCAACCAAGCCUAACACAGAGAAGGUUACAUUUAAGGCGCUGUGCUGGGAGUCCUAAUAUAUAUAAUAGCUCAAUUGCAUUGCCUUCCACUCAGCACAACAUCACCUUUCUAGUGUUCUAACUGCAAAUCUCAUUUCUUUCUCAACAUCCUUGCUUGAAUUAUUCUCCCUCAAAAUUGAGAUUCGGACAGCAUAAUCAGUCCCAAGAAGCUCAUCAGAAUGGCAAGGAAGUGGCAGAAGAUGGCUGCCUUUGGAAGGAAAAGGAUCUCAUUACAAAGAAUCAAUGAGGGUGUGGAUGAAGAAAGCUGCAGCACAUCAUCAGUGGCUGAUAAAGGCCAUUUUGUUGUUUACAGCUCUGACAGAAGACGCUUUGUGAUUCCCUUGGCGUAUCUUGACAGUGAAAUCAUGAGAGAGCUUUUCCAAAUGUCUGAGGAGGAGUUUGGGAUACAAAGUACAGGCCCCAUCAUACUGCCAUGUGAUUCAGUCUUUUUGGACUAGGUGAUCUCAUUCAUCCAACGCGGUGUUGCUAAAGAGUUGGAGAGGGCUUUGAUCAUGUCCAUAGCUCCCAGUAACUGCUCAUCCUCUUCAUACUUCCACCAAGAACAGACCAAUGAGCAAUUACUCUUAUGUGCCUGCUGAAGAAAACUAUACUUAAAUUUUGUAAAAUGAUUCAACAAAAUUUUUGUUUGAUAACAUAUAUAGUGAGAAUUCUCAAAGCAUGUUCUUCAUGUCUUCUUGUCUUCCUCGUAAUGAUCACUUAUUGCCAC
rnacentral:lncRNA from 1 species